rnacentral:rRNA from 1 species
AGCCUAUACAUGCAAGUCGAACGGCAGCACAGGAGAGCUUGCUCCCUGGGUGGGGAGUGGGGGACGGGUGAGGAAUACAUCGGAAUCUACUCUGUCGUGGGGGAUAACGUAGGGAAACUUACGCUAAUACCGCAUACGACCUACGGGUGAAAGCAGGGGAUCUUCGGACCUUGCGCGAUUGAAUGAGCCGAUGUCGGAUUAUCUAGUUGGGGGGGUAAAGGCCCCCCAAGGCGACAAUCCGUAUCUGGGCUGAGAGGAUGAUCACCCACACUGGAACUGAGACACGGUCCAAACUCCUACGGGAGGCGCCAGUGGGGAAUAUUGGACAAUGGGCGCAAGCCUGAUCCACCCAUACCGCGUGGGUGAAAAAGGCCUUCUGGUUGUAAAGCCCUUUUGUUGGGAAAAAAAUCCCCCUGGUUAAUACCCGGUUGGGAUGACGGUACCCAAAAAAUAAGCACCGGCUAACUUCUUGCCACCAGCCGCGGUAAUACAAAGGGGGCGAGCGUUACUCGGAAUUAUUGGGCGUAAAGCGUGCGUAGGUGGUCAUUUAAAUCCGUUGUGAAAACCCUGGGCUCAACCUGGGAACUGUCCUGGAUACUGGGCGACUAAAGUGUGGCA